rnacentral:rRNA from 1 species
AACGAACGCUGGCGGCGUGCCUAACACAUGCAAGUCGUGCGAGAAAGUUCCUUCGGGAGCGAGUAAAGCGGCGCACGGGUGAGUAACACGUAGGUAACCUGCCCCCCAGUCUGGAACAACUAGAGGAAACUCUAGCUAAUGCCGGAUGAGACCACGAUCCCUUCGGGGGUUGCGGCCAAAGAUGGCCUCUACUUGUAAGCUAUCGCUGAGGGAUGGGCCUGCGGGCCAUUAGCUUGUUGGUGAGGUAACGGCUCACCAAGGCUGUGAUGGCUAGCUGGUCUGAGAGGAUGACCAGCCACACUGGGACUGAGACACGGCCCAGACUCCUACGGAGGCAGCAGUGGGGAAUAUUGCGCAAUGGGCGAAAGCCUGACGCAGCGACGCCGCGUGGGUGAUGAAGGCCUUCGGUCGGU